UACGGGGGGAGCAAGCGUUGUUCGGAUUUACUGGGCGUAAAGGGCGCGUAGGCGGCGCGACAAGUCACUUGUGAAAUCUCCGGGCUUAACUCGGAGCGGCCAAGUGAUACUGUCGUGCUAGAGUGCGGAAGGGGCAACUGGAAUUCUCGGUGUAGCGGUGAAAUGCGUAGAUAUCGGGAGGAACACCAGUGGCGAAGGCGACUUCCUGGCCUGUUCUUGACGCUGAGGCGCGAAAGCUAGGGGAGCAAACGGG
rnacentral:rRNA from 1 species